GUUCUUUAAAAGAGGUAAGAGCAACGUGCUUUGGGAGCAGAGAAGAGGGAGAAAGCAGCAUCUUGCCUGGAUGAGCCAGGGGACACAGAAGAGAAGCCCACUAUCUCAUUUAAUCUUUACAACUCUCUUGCAAGGUUCCCUGGUUGUGAAAAUACAUGAGAUAAAUCAUGAAGGCCACUAUCAUCCUCCUUCUGCUUGCACAAGUUUCCUGGGCUGGACCGUUUCAACAGAGAGGCUUAUUUGACUUUAUGCUAGAAGAUGAGGCUUCUGGGAUAGGCCCAGAAGUUCCUGAUGACCGCGACUUCGAGCCCUCCCUAGGCCCAGUGUGCCCCUUCCGCUGUCAAUGCCAUCUUCGAGUGGUCCAGUGUUCUGAUUUGGAAAAGAAGUAUUGCAAUAAUUUAUCUUCGUACAACCUCUACACAACAAACUGCCUUAUACUUUGUAGACUCUUUACACAUCACUGAACGAUUGAUGAAUGAAUACACGAACAUAUGCAUGGCUUGGUUCUUGAAUUAAUGCUUGGAUGAAUAUUCUACAAUAUUCUUGACUCUAGCAAGCUGCAAAGAGAAGGGAACAUGCCUGAUUGAGAAACAAAAGUGAUUUCUCAGUGCAUCCUUGCUCCUUCCCUUUAAGGACAACUGUAAAACCAGGAAGCUUAGAAAUUCCUUGAGUUUGACUGGAAAGAGAAUAGAAUUAAAGAGAAGAAUCAUCUAUGUAUG
rnacentral:lncRNA from 1 species